AACGAACGCUGGCGGCAUGCCUAACACAUGCAAGUCGAACGAGACCUUCGGGUCUAGUGGCGCACGGGUGCGUAACGCGUGGGAACCUGCCCUUAGGUUCGGAAUAACUCCCCGAAAGGGGUGCUAAUACCGGAUAAUGUCUUCGGACCAAAGAUUUAUCGCCUUUGGAUGGGCCCGCGUUGGAUUAGCUAGUUGGUAGGGUAAAAGCCUACCAAGGCGACGAUCCAUAGCUGGUCUGAGAGGAUGAUCAGCCACACUGGGACUGAGACACGGCCCAGACUACUACGGGAGGCAGCAGUGGGGAAUAUUGGACAAUGGGCGAAAGCCUGAUCCAGCAAUGCCGCGUGAGUGAUGAAGGCAUUAGGGUUGUAAAGCUCUUUUACACGGGAUGAUAAUGACAGUACCGGGAGAAUAAGCGCCGGCUAACUCCGUG
rnacentral:rRNA from 1 species